UAGCUAGUUGGUGAGGUAAAGGCUUACCAAGGCGACGAUCUGUAGCGGGUCUGAGAGGAUGAUCCGCCACACUGGAACUGAGACACGGUCCAGACUCCUACGGGAGGCAGCAGUGGGGAAUUUUGGACAAUGGGGGCAACCCUGAUCCAGCCAUGCCGCGUGAGUGAAGAAGGCCUUCGGGUUGUAAAGCUCUUUCGGCCGGGAAGAAAUCGCAUGGGCCAAUACCCUGUGUGGAUGACGGUACCGGAAUAAGAAGCACCGGCUAACUACGUGCCAGCAGCCGCGGUAAUACGUAGGGUGCGAGCGUUAAUCGGAAUUACUGGGCGUAAAGCGUGCGCAGGCGGUUUUGUAUGACAGGCGUGAAAUCCCCGGGCUUAACCUGGGAACUGCGUUUGUGACUGCAAGGCUAGAGUACGGCAGAGGGGGGUGGAAUUCCACGUGUAGCAGUGAAAUGCGUAGAGAUGUGGAGGAACACCAAUGGCGAAGGCAGCCCCCUGGGUCGAUACUGACGCUCAUGCACGAAAGCGUGGGUAGCAAACAGGAUUAGAUACCCUGGUAGUCCACGCCCUAAACUAUGUCAACUAGGUGUUGGGUGGGUAAAACCAUUUAGUACCGUAGCUAACGCGUGAAGUUGACCGCCUGGGGAGUACGGCCGCAAGGUUAAAACUCAAAGGAAUUGACGGGGACCCGCACAAGCGGUGGAUGAUGUGGAUUAAUUCGAUGCAACGCGAAAAACCUUACCUACCCUUGACAUGCCAGGAACUUGCCAGAGAUGGCUUGGUGCCCGAAAGGGAGCUUGGACACAGGUGCUGCAUGGCUGUCGUCAGCUCGUGUCGUGAGAUGUUGGGUUAAGUCCCGCAACGAGCGCAACCCUUGUCGUUAAUUGCCAUCAUUUGGUUGGGCACUUUAACGAGACUGCCGGUGACAAACCGGAGGAAGGUGGGGAUGACGUCAAGUCCUCAUGGCCCUUAUGGGUAGGGCUUCACACGUCAUACAAUGGUCGGUACAAAGGGUUGCCAAGCCGCGAGGCGGAGCCAAUCCCAGAAAGCCGAUCGUAGUCCGGAUUGCAGGCUGCAACUCGCCUGCAUGAAGUCGGAAUCGCUAGUAAUCGUGGAUCAGCAUGUCACGGUGAAUACGUUCCCGGGUCUUGUACACACCGCCCGUCACACCAUGGGAGCGGGUUCCGCCAGAAGUAGGUAGCCUAACCGCAAGGGGGGCGCUUACCACGGCGGGGUUCGUGACUGGGGUGAAGUCGGAACAAGGUAGCCGUAGGGGAACCUGCGGCUG
rnacentral:rRNA from 1 species